GGGCUCCGCUGUUGCGCUAUGGAAAAUCGUUAGGGGAUACACUGUAUCAAACGUGCUCGCACAGAUUCUUAAUAGCCACAAUAAGGCUGAAAGGGGAAUCAAGUGGACUCACCAUUAAAGGAAGGCCGACUCUGAGUGACGCCGGCCGGGAAAAUCACCGACGCUUCUUCAGCCCAGGAGGAAAAAAACAGGUUUUGGAUAAACACUGUUUAAAGGGGAAUGUAAACAACAAAAAAGUGGAAUCGGCAGGGAUGGCGUGUCAAGGAAGAGCCCGGAAUAGGAUGCUGCGCAAGAGAUGGAUAGUGCGUAAUGCUGCGUUCCAUUUACCUCGGAAGUCGGAACUCGGAACUGGGAAUGACGUCACAGCCGAGUUAUCAGCGUUCCAGUUACAAAGGCCUUGUUUUAUCAUCUUGCAGCACAACCAACCCCCAGCCCCCCUUGGACCAGGAGCAGGACUAGAUGCCCGAGGAAGACCCAGGAGAGGACACAGUAUCCUACUGUGCACCACAAAGAUGUCUGCAGGGAGACACAGAGCUCGGUUUUCCACUGUGUGAUCCAUGGACAGUUUAGUCUGGCUUGAUAUCUGGUGCCCGUCUGCUCCUGUUUUACUCGAACCCGAAAAGCUUAAUGUCUCUCCAGUUCAUUAGAUUUGCCGACCAUGACUCAGGAGUUGUUCUCGAUGGCCUCCCAUCCAACAUGGAGCCCGGAUCUUCCUGACUUGCUGGUUCUAUUUUUAGCUUGAACAAAGUUAAGAAUCCUAAUGCAUCAGCUCAAAUAUGUUCCUGGAAAGAGUGUCUCUUUAAUGCAGCCGCAACAAAAACAAAAAAAAGCUGCAGACACCAGUGUAUCUGCCAGCAAUGUUUGCCUGUUUUAUGCACUGAAGUUCAGGUCAUGCAGACAGUUUUAGGUUCAAUAUCUUCUAGAAAAACACCUCAGCCAUUACAAAGUCGAUCAGUGAUUACAUUAGACAGUUUUGCAAGACACUAUAAAAGUAUCUGCUUCAUGGAAAAUUGAAUUUGUACCAAUUUGAUUGUACACAAAUCAAAUCUACCACCUGACAGGCUGAGGGACUUUUAUUGAUUUUAUUAGGAUAAUCAAGUUGUUGUACUGAGCUCAACAUGUGAAUUGAUUUCAUCAUGAUCGGAAAGGGUAACAGUGAAUGUGGCGCAUUCUCAGAUUGGCUGAUUGUCCGUCUUCAUCAACAUUAUGCAAGGUAUUUGUUUUCCUUGUUUGUCUUCCAGAUGUGGACAUGGGUCAUCCUCCCCAGGGAACUGGUUUCAGAUGGUGUCUUAGAGUCUAAAACCCCAUCUAGCACCAUUUGAAAUCGGUGUUCUUGAGCGGGAACAGACGUCAGCCGUGACACCGAUUCAGCACUUUGAUGGCACUGUUUGCAUUUAUAUUUUUACAUACUGCACAUAUUAUAUAAUUA